CUCGGUGCUCCCUUUCUUCUCCAUUCUCAUAUAUUUGCUGUCACCGGAAGUUCUCGUUGUAAGAAAGAGAUCCAACAAAUGCAACAAGUAUGUUAUCUGAAGGCAAAGAAAAAUGAAUGGAUGAUGUUGUUAAUCAAAUGCACUAUUUCAUCUUUCACAGGACAGACAUUACAAUAUACGAGGAAGGAAGAAAACCAAAACGCAGACGUUUGAAUUCAAAGUGGCCUUUAGAUCUUCAGACAAGUUGUUGAUCAAAGGCUCUCUGCGAAGACAAGUUGAUUUCAUUAAGAUUGAAGAUGGCAAUAAUGUACAAUUUUAAGGCUUUUGAGGUGUCAAGACAUUUAUCUAUGAAUAUUUAGCGACAACAAGUUAUGUGUGAUUUAGAUAGACGAAUUUGGA